rnacentral:sRNA from 1 species
GCGAGACGCGUGGCCCAAGCGACGGGUGCGACCGAUAAACUGGACGACGGUACGUAGCCGGGCGCAGCUCCCGGGCGUACCACCAAUGAUCAGCCAGCAGCCGCUGCAACCCCAGGGAG